rnacentral:rRNA from 1 species
GACGAACGCUGGCGGCGUGCUUAACACAUGCAAGUCGAACGGAAAGGCCCUGCUUUUGUGGGGUGCUCGAGUGGCGAACGGGUGAGUAACACGUGAGUAACCUGCCCUUGACUUUGGGAUAACUUCAGGAAACUGGGGCUAAUACCGGAUAGGAGCUCCUGCUGCAUGGUGGGGUUUGGAAAGUUUCGGCGGUUGGGGAUGGACUCGCGGCUUAUCAGCUUGUUGGUGGGGUAGUGGCUUACCAAGGCUUUGACGGGUAGCCGGCCUGAGAGGGUGACCGGCAACAUUGGGACUGAGAUACGGCCCAGACUCCUACGGGAGGCAGCAGUGGGGAAUAUUGCACAAUGGGCGGAAGCCUGAUGCAGCAACGCCGCGUGCGGGAUGACGGCCUUCGGGUUGUAAACCGCUUUCGCCUGUGACGAAGCGUGAGUGACGGUAAUGGGUAAAGAAGCACCGGCUAACUACGUG